rnacentral:misc_RNA from 1 species
UUUCCGUAGGUGAACCUGCGGAAGGAUCAUUGUCGAAACCUGCCCAGCAGAACGACCCGCGAACUUGUAUAAACAACCGGGGGCGGGGGGCGUUCUCGCCCCGUGCCCCCGAACGGCGGGGAGACACUCGUGCCUUCUUGCCAAACAACGAACCCCGGCGCGGUCUGCGCCAAGGAACUUCAACUAAAGAGUGCCUCCGGUCGCCUCGGAAACGGCGUGCGUGCCGGGAGCGAAUCUUGUGCAAAACCAUAACGACUCUCGGCAACGGAUAUCUCGGCUCUC